rnacentral:lncRNA from 1 species
AAUAACUUGUAGCUAGCUACAAGUUAUUAUAGGUUAUGGAUGAGACGUCACGCGAAUCCUCAUCAGCUGACCACCGCGCUACUUAAUAAAAUUAAAUGAAUAAAAUAAUUCAAAAACGUGGUGAAAAGCCAUAGGAUUUAUUUAGUUGUUACUUAUUACUUGUUGGGGAUCGCCUUUCUGGUGGACAUGAGAGUUUGUCCAUUCUUUCUUCCUGUUAAUGGCGUAGGUUCCUUGACGAAGUGUUGGAGUCUUGUGCGUUCUUUCUUGAUCAUCCCCGUGCCAAAGAAUACAUGGUUCGGAAGCAAAACGUGGACUGUAACGGGGUUUUCAACAUUUUACGUUAAUAGGUUUCGAAAACGACGUCAUAUUUGUUAUUGUUUCUUUGAUAGCUGUGCUUAGAAAUAAUUGUAGUUUUAUCAUGGAGCAGUACACACUCGAGCAACGCUUGCAAAUUAUUAAAAUUUAUUACA